rnacentral:antisense_RNA from 1 species
GGACAGCCCACCAGGGUCUGCUUCUGUGAGGGGCCGAGGCGUCAUUCCGCGAAGCCUUCUCCUUGCUGUCGCCAUGUGAAGAAGGAUGUGUUUGCUUCCCCUUCUGCCAUGAUUGUAAGUUUCCUGAAGCCUCUCCAGCCAUGCCAAACUCAUUUUGCACAGAGCUUGGCAGUUACAUAGUAGAUGUUGAACAAUUUCUUCUGUGUUUCAGUUGUCAAACUCUGUUCUGAAUGUAUGAGGCUCUUCAUUCGAUGGACAAAAACCACAAGAUUAUCUAAAUAGAUGCAGAAAAGGCCUUCGAUAAAAAUCCUCAUUCCUUCAUGUUAAAAACUCUCAAUAAACUAGGUAUUGAUGGAACAUACCUCAAAAUAAUUAGAGCCAUUUAUGACAAACUCACAGCCAGUGUCCUCACUGAAUGGGCAAAAGCUGAAAGCAUUCUCCUUGAAAACCAGCACAGGACAAGUUUGCCCUCUCUCCCAACCCCUAUUCAAUAUAGUAUUGGAAGUUAUGGCCAUGGCAAUUGGGCAAGAGAAAAAAAUGAAGAGUAUUUAAAUGGGAAAAGAGGAAGUCAAACUAUCUUUUUUUGCAGAUGACAUAAUCCUAU